rnacentral:rRNA from 1 species
AGAGCGAACGCUGGCGGCAGGCCUAAUACAUGCAAGUCGAGCGGCCACUUCGGUGGCAGCGGCGGACGGGUGAGUAACGCGUGGGAAUGUGCCCUUUGGUACGGAACAACUGAGGGAAACUUCAGCUAAUACCGUAUGUGCCCGUUCGGGGGAAAGAUUUAUUGCCAUUGGGAGCAGCCCGCGUUGGAUUAGCUAGUUGGGUGGGGUAAAGGCCCACCAAGGCGACGAUCCAUAGCUGGUCUGAGAGGAUGAUCAGCCACACUGGACUGAGACACGGCCCAGCUCCGUACGGAGGCAGCAAGUAGGAAUCGUUGCGCAAGUGGACGAAAGCCUGACGCAGCCACGUCGCCGCGUACGAAGUGAUA